AUGGCGUUUGUUCUCCUCCCAACCUUGAGGCUUUCCUGGACUGCCCACCCUGGUUACCAUUUGCUGUGGUGGUUGCCAGGGGAACCAUUUACUAUUUUUAUAUAUUCCCCAGAUGAUGAGGCUGCGGAAAUACUCAGGCGAAGUUGGUCCAGGAGUAAUCCUGGAAGCGAUGCCCAGGCAGGCUCUGCUGGAGUCUUGGAUGGAGGGUGGGGAGCCGCUCUGAUGCUUCAGGAAUCAAAUGCACACCCGUACUGAGUGACGAAACCAGGAUGCAAACGCAGAUCAGUCUGACUCUAAGACCUGCCUCUGUCCACAAGGAAAAGGUGAUUUGCUGCAGGCACACCUCCUGCUUGACCGAAGCACUGCAGAUUCAAAGAUUAGACGCAGUCUCUUUGGUGACACUCAAAGGAGAUAGCGUGGGAAGUAACCCUGGUAGGUUGUAUUUUCCCAGAAUGGCCCCAGGCUCGCUGACCUGAGGUGGGACUCUGCGCUUGCCUGCCUUGGUGAGUAGAAAUGAUGCUGUCAGACUUCAGAGGCUGAGGAGGGACAGUCCUGCCACCAUGCUGUGAGAGUCACCCAGGGAGAGGAGCAGAGCUUCCGGCAGCCAGCACCACUCGCCAGAAACGUGAGUGCGUGAGCCCUCAUCAUUCCAUCUGACGCCCAACACAGACAUCAGGGGCAGACAGGCUGUGCUCACUGCACCCUCUCAGUCCCUGGCACACAAAAUCUCUGAGCAUCAUGAGUGGCUCCAUCCUGAGUGAUGUCAUCAUAGUGACACCGCUAAGUCCUGGGGCAAGUGGUUACACAGCUAUAGUAGCUGGAAUGAGAACUUUAUAAACUGUGAACUGCCGUCCCCGUGUAAAAUGCUAUUAGGAAACCUGACUUUGGCACAACAGGCUUGUGUCGGUAUCUGAGGAAGUCAACUUGUGUCUCAGGCUGAGUUCCUCCCAAAAGCAGAAACUGCAGCAGAGGUUUGUGUGCAGGAACACACGUUUAUGAAAGACCCGCGGGCUCAGGCAUAGGGGACUGGGAAGAACGAAACUGGGAAGGAGACGGAGACUCAGCCAGUCCAAGGCUGUGCUGUUGAGCUGACACCGCUGUGGGCAGCUGAGGCUCAGUAUCACGAGAGGCCUUCUGAGGAACCUGCAGAAUGAGCCUCAGGGCUGUGGGGAGAAUGUGUCUGCCCAUCCCCUAUUAGCUGCAGGUUGCCCCCAGAGAAUGUUAAUUCCUGGCACCUGCCGCUCUGCAGCUGUCCCAGAACAGCUUGAGCAGCCCUGCCUGGCAGAGGGGCCCAGGGAAGAAAGCUAAAUCAGGCACUGAGAGAUUACGGUUGGGCUGACAGGCUGUGAAAUGGAGCAUAAAAGAUGACUGACAGGAGGAGGGUAGAUUACUUGAGGUCAGGAGUUCGAGACCAGCCUGGCCAACACAGUGAAACCCUGUCUCUACAAAUAAUACAAAAAUUAGCCAGGCAUGGUGGUGGGGUUACUUGAGAGGCUCAGGUGGGAGAAUUGCUUGAACCCAGGAGGCAGAGGUUGCAGUGAGCUGAGAUCGUACCACAUUGUACUCCAGCCUGGGUGACAGAAUGAGACUCCAACUAAAAAAAAAAUUAGGAUAAUUAAGGAAAUUUGAAUAUGAACUGGAUAUUACAAAAUGAUCCAUGGGGCGGGGGGCGGUGGCUGAUGUCUGUAAUCCCAGCACUUUGGGAGGCUGAGGUGGGUGGAUCACCUGAGGUCAGGAGUUUGAGACUAACCUGGCCAACAUGGUGAAACCCCAUCUCUACUAAUAAUACAAAAAUUAGCCAAGAGUGAUGGCAUGUGCCUGUAAUCCCAGCUACUUGGGAGACUGAGGCAAGGGAAUGACUUGAACCUGAGAGGCGGAGGUUACAGUGAGCUGAGAUUGCACCACUGCACUACAGCCUGGGCGACAAGAGCAAAACUCCAUCUCCAAAGAAAAGGAUCCGUGUGGAAUAUUGGCCAAUAGCUCAGUCUUAGGAGGUGCUAAAGUGUUUAUGGGUGUCUACAGCAUCUUAGAUUCAAAUAGUUCAGAAAACAUUACAUAAAUAUAUAUACACACACCCAAUAAAUAGGGUGUUGGGGCUCAGAAACCAAUAUACCAAGAUACGGCAUUUGGACACACUGAACUGAAGAAGCCUCAUGGUCUCUCUGGCCCUCCCCGGGACCACUGUCCCUCCAAAAACCCGUAUCUGUCUAAGAUCCAGACCCACCAAAGGGAACAAUGGUUUUUUUCUUCCCUUCCUUUUUUUUUGGUGCCGUGACUCGGAUACAAACCGAGGUUGCUGUGACCACAACGCAGAGAACUACCCGCUAUACGAUCACGGCCUCUUCCCUUCCUGAAGACCGAGAAUGACCCCACCUGAG
rnacentral:lncRNA from 1 species